rnacentral:lncRNA from 1 species
AACAAGGAGAAGAAAAACAGGGGAGAAAAAAAAGAAAGAAAAAAGGGUUUUGAGCAGAGAGUGAGAGAAGGCUGUAGGUGCCGGAGCCAUCUCGGAGGAUGUGAGUGAGGGUGAUUGUUGCGGUGGUGCGAAGCCGUGGCUGUUCGUGGAGGCACCAAAGGCUAACGACGCCGUACAGUUUUACGAGGUGGCACUUGGAGCCGAAGAUGUUAGCCGUACCGUGC